ACAGGAGCCUGGGAACAGCUGGGACUCCAUCUGCCCUGGGCCCAGCCGGCAGCAGGGCGGUAGCACCUCCUUUGUGCCCGUGUGUCUGUGUGUGCGGCACGCGCAGAUUACACAGAAUGGAAACUCUGAAGAGACAGAGUUGCUGGGCCAGCAAUCUGCAUGUCAACUAGUCCUCCCUGCGAUUCUGAUGAAGCUAAAGUUUAAGAACGAUGGCUUCAGAGCUUACAAAGCAGAGUCAAUUCCUAGACGCUCUUAUUUAAACUGACACUUGGCUGUCAUUCGGCAUAUUCUACAGGGCCCGAGCACCAGGAUGCUGGCGACGGUGUGGAUCUCCUUGUUAGGGUCUGGGGAAGGGGUUCGGCUUGGGAAGCGCUGGUGUUCACUGCGCAGAGGGUGCCAAGGCCGCGCUGUUGCCUGUUGGGGUGAGUGGGGAUCAGCACAACGGCCCCGCCCCCACACGCGGCACCAGCCCGGACCCUGCGAAGCCACCCUGCCAGACCCCCCAAACACUCCAGUGCUUCAGCCCUCCUGGCCUUUGCCCAGGCUGGGCCUUCUGCCGGGAAUACCCUCCUGCCAUUCACCUGGCAGUCUCAUUCCUGAGCGGUCCUUCCCAGCACCUCCCCGCUGCUCCCUCCAUCACACGUGUACCAGGAAGCCUUCAAGGCCGCCUCUUCCAGCCCUGGGAGCACCUGGUAACUGCACCUGCCUGCCAGGCUCUUCUGUCCAAGGGAUUCUCCAGGAUUGUUUUGGCAAUUGGAUGAGAAACACUGAAGGCCCAGCAUACAGCAGGUGCUCAAUAUGUGCCCCUCCACUCUAGCUCCCAAGAUUUGCCCACUUCCCCACCACCCCCCACCCCCCGCC